AGAAACUUAGGAUAACCCCAACCCUCCAAACCGGAGGCCUUCAAAGCCUCAAAUAAGAGUUAAACCCUCUUAGUUUCUG
rnacentral:tRNA from 1 species